rnacentral:rRNA from 1 species
GAUGAACGCUGGCGGCGUGCCUAAUACAUGCAAGUCGAGCGAACGGACGAGAAGCUUGCUUCUCUGAUGUUAGCGGCGGACGGGAGAGUAACACGUGGAUAACCUACCUAUAAGACUGGGAUAACUUCGGGAAACCGGAGCUAAUACCGGAUAAUAUUUUGAACCGCAUGGUUCAAAAGUGAAAGACGGUCUUGCUGUCACUUAUAGAUGGAUCCGCGCUGCAUUAGCUAGUUGGUAAGGUAACGGCUUACCAAGGCAACGAGGCAUAGCCGACCUCAGAGGGUGGUCGGCCACCCUGGAACUGAGACACGGUCCAGACUCCUACGGGAGGCAGCAGUAGGGAAUCUUCCGCAAUGGGCGAAUGCCUGACGGAGCAACGCCGCGUGAGUGAUGAAGGUCUUCGGAUCGUAAAACUCUGUUAUUCGGGAAGAACAUAUGUGUAAGUAACUGUGCACAUCUUGACGGUACCUAAUCAGAAAGCCACGGCUAACUACGUG